ACUCCUACGGGAGGCAGCAGUGGGAAUAUUGCACAAUGGGCGCAAGCCUGAUGCAGCCAUGCCGCGUGUAUGAAGAAGGCCUUCGGGUUGUAAAGUACUUUCAGCAGUGAGGAAGGCGGGUACGUUAAUAGCGUGCUCGUUUGACGUUAGCUGCAGAAGAAGCACCGGCUAACUCCGUGCCAGCAGCCGCGGUAAUACGGAGGGUGCGAGCGUUAAUCGGAAUUACUGGGCGUAAAGAGCUCGUAGGCGGUUUGUCGCGUCUGUCGUGAAAGUCCGGGGCUCAACUCCGGAUCUGCGGUGGGUACGGGCAGACUAGAGUGAUGUAGGGGAGACUGGAAUUCCUGGUGUAGCGGUGGAAUGCGCAGAUAUCAGGAGGAACACCGAUGGCGAAGGCAGGUCUCUGGGCAUUAACUGACGCUGAGGAGCGAAAAGCAUGGGGAGCGAACAGGAUUAGAUACCCUGGUA
rnacentral:rRNA from 1 species